rnacentral:rRNA from 1 species
AUUGAACGCUGGCGGCAUGCCUUACACAUGCAAGUCGAACGGUAACAGGUUAAGCUGACGAGUGGCGAACGGGUGAGUAAUAUAUCGGAACGUGCCCAGUCGUGGGGGAUAACGUAGCGAAAGCUACGCUAAUACCGCAUACGAUCUACGGAUGAAAGCGGGGGAUCGCAAGACCUCGCGCGAUUGGAGCGGCCGAUAUCAGAUUAGGUUGUUGGUGAGGUAAAAGCUCACCAAGCCUGCGAUCUGUAGCUGGUCUGAGAGGACGAACAGCCACACUGGAACUGAGACACGGUCCAGACUCCUACGGGAGGCAGCAGUGGGGAAUUUUGGACAAUGGACGCAAGUCUGAUCCAGCAAUGCCGCGUGCAGGACGAAGGCCUUCGGGUUGUAAACUGCUUUUGUACGGAACGAAACGGUGAGCUCUAAUACAGUUUGCUAAUGACGGUACCGUAAGGAUAAGCACCGGCUAACUACGUGCCAGCCGCCGCAGUAAGAC